GUGGCGGCGUUGCUUAACACAUAGCAAGUCGAACGAAGCAUUUGCGACAGAUCUUUUCGGAGUGAAGCUGCAUAUGACUGAGUGGCGGACGGGUGAGUAACGCGUGGGUAACCUGCCUCAUACAGGGGGAUAGCAGCUGGAAACGGCUGGUAAUACCGCAUAAGCGCACAGAAUCGCAUGAUUUAGUGUGAAAAACUCCGGUGGUAUGAGAUGGACCCGCGUCUGAUUAGCUAGUUGGUGAGGUAACGGCCCACCAAGGCGACGAUCAGUAGCCGACCUGAGAGGAUGACCGGCCACAUUGGGACUGAGACACGGCCCCAGACUCCUACGGGAGGCAGCAGUGGGGAAUAUUGCACAAUGGAGGAAACUCUGAUGCAGCGACGCCGCGUGAGUGAAGAAGUAAUUCGUUAUGUAAAGCUCUAUCAGCAGGGAAGAUAGUGACGGUACCUGACUAAGAAGCUCCGGCUAAAUACGUG
rnacentral:rRNA from 1 species